rnacentral:rRNA from 1 species
UCCGGCGACCAUAUCAGAGGGGUCACACCCGUUCCCUUCCCGAACACGGAAGUUAAGCCCUCUCGAGCCGAUUAUACUGCGCUUGCAGAAGCGUGGGAAACUAGGUUGUCGCCGGAU